ensembl:rRNA 5S_rRNA 5S ribosomal RNA
GCCAGCACCCAUAUCACCCUGCAACUCACAACUGGCAACCCACUGAAGAUAAGCAGGUGUGAGCCUGGUCAGUACCUGGAUGGGAGACCUCCUGGGAAAAACUAAGGUUGCUGCUGGAA